CGCCCCAGCAGAGCAGCACCACUGCCUCCACUUGGAAGCCUCUUGCUCUCCACUUACCCAUGCAGAAGACGAGGAUGAAGGUGGCCAGCGUCACAGAAGAGCCACUGCUGACCAUGCUGACCAGGAACUGGAAGAAAGGGACCUGCAGACUCCACAUGCAGUCCACCAGCACCAACACCCUGUCUGUGCCCUGCAGCUUCCCAGGGGCUGGGACUUGAAGACCACACAGAUGACAGAGGGCCUUGAAGCCUGUAGGUGCCACUCACAGGAGGUGGCCUACACAGUGUGGAAGCAAAAAGGAGUACUUCCAUGGAAGCCAAAGUGUCGUCGUGGCCCAAGCAGGAUGGAGCAAGGACCUGAUUUGAUGACACAAAGAUGGUGAGACGCGGGGACACCUGCCCUUUUCUCUUUUCCCUCCUGCCUAACAGGAAGGCUCCCCGAAUCUGACACUUGCCUUAGUCUCCAUGAAAGAUGAUCCAACACAUACAGAAUCUACAUGUAGGAGAUAAUACGCCAGUCAUUUUUUCAGCCAAGUAACGACUUCACGGCAACGGCCAGAUACCUCCCAUCAAGUGAUCUGACCUGGUAGCACCAAGGCAGGCCCCUGCCAGAGUGUCACUACAUGAAAGGACCUGGAUGGGAGAAACCAGGGCAUCUGCCCCUCUGGACUCAGGGAUCCCUGUGUCACUUUGCACCCCAGUGUUUACUCACAGGUUCAAGGGUGGCCCUGGAGCCAUUGCUAGUAGGGGCAUGAGGAUCAUUCUGCAGACAGCCCAUCAAGAACAAGGGGAGAUGCCACUUUGCUCUGACUCCUGUUCCAUGUCUGUCUGUCCCUUUCUGUCUCUUGCUUGCUCGCUUUCUCUUCUGAGGCUGCUGGCUCUGGUGACUUCAAGGACUGAAUUUACACUUGCUUUUGUCCUUGAGAAAGGACAAAAGGCUCGUUUCACUUCUCACUGCUCAGGAAUAUCUUAGGAAGAAGAGACACUUCAGAACUUCUUUGCCAAGGUGUAGCUGUUCAGAGAAUGGAGGCUGGGAUUUCACCUCAUAAGAGAUGACGGGAGCCACCGCUGUUAGAGUAAGGGCUUCCUUCUCAGGCAGAAUUCUACAGAGGUAAGCUUUUAACAUAAUUAAGACUUACCCUGCAAGUUUCUCUGGAAAUAUUCUUUCCCCUUUCCUGUCCCUACAUCUCUUUCCAUGGAUACACCAUUUCUUUCUUUGCUCUUCUGAUCUGCCCUCGUUUGCAGAUCAGAUCUUUCAGUGUGGUUCAUGAGGAGGUUAGAGAUGCUGCCUGCAAACUAUUUCUUUACUUGCACCAAGGAGCUCGGAUGGUUCUGCUCUUUUCAGUAAUGUCCUUGGCACUGUUUUCAUGCUUCACACUGAGGUGCGGUGUACCUCAGAGCAAGGCCUCAGCCAUCCCAACUGGGUCACUACAAGGAGAGAGGUGCAUUGAGUAGCCAAAGGAACCUUCCUGGGGGCUGGGGAGAUAACUCAGUGGUAGAGUGCCUGCCUUGUAUGCAUGGGGCUCUGGGUUCGAGUCUCCAGUACAUUAUAAAAUCUCUUGGGAGGCCAUGAGUGAACUUGACAACGAGACGGGAGCCAGUUUUGGGGUGUGUGCUCUGAUUGCCACAUGCUCUGGAGAGUUGCAGUGACCUAGGAAAACAGCCUCAUGGGCCUGCAUUCCCAGUGGUCCGGCUGGCUACUACGUGGAGCUCCUGCCAAGUGUUGAAGGAACUUGGGAGAGAAAAGCGCAUUUUGUCCCUGAAGAAGACCCCCUUAGGGAGGGUGGGGAUUCCCAGCCUUCUCUGGCAGCAGCUGAGUGAAAGACAGUGGCCACCCCACCAUUUGGAAUAUCUCAGAAUGCUGCUCUCUACUGCCUCUAAGGAUCUGGGCUCGAUUCCAGGCAGGGAGUGGCUUUGGACUUCAGCGGUCAGCCCACCAGCACAUCUCCUCAGGAAUGUUCAAACAUCAUGUUGAGCCUAGUGAGUAUGGUCAGCCACUGGCGUUUUGUUGAGCCGUGCUGUAGCUUGGCAUCAGUAGAGUCUUGAAUGGGAAAAUACGUACCACUUGCCUGUGUCUCUGCUGGUGGGCAUUUCAGGGGCUACUGGUCAGACUUUGGAGGAGAUGACCCACAGCACAGGAGACCAGGCCAACCCCACCAGAGUCAGAUUGGAGUUAAUGAGUAAGUCACUGACCUAAGGCAAAUCACCCUUGCGUUUUACCAUCUGCAGCUUCUCUAAAUUCUUCCUGCUCACCUUGGUGACAUUCUGGAGAUUAGACAGUAAGCCCAUUGUAUUAGUCAAUGGACAGGUGAAGAGAAUUGGCCUAGGGAGGGUUUUCCCUAGUCAUGACUAACUGGAGAGUAACUCAUGUGAGGUCUUGCAGGAGUGUUCUGCACCUCUACAUCUCCUGGGUGCUGUUACUCGUGUGUAUUUGCACAGGGCAGAUCCAUCUUCCAAGAAAAGGGUCAAUAAAACAAUUGCUUUACACUCAAUAUCUAAAUGAUUGAUUAUGAAAUAUGGUCUGCCCUUUCACCAGCCAUGGCUCUGGCAUGAAAAUGAGUUGGUAUAAGAGGAUCAAGAAGUAGCUGGGAGGGAAAGAGGCUUCCCCAGGUUAGAUUGUUCCAAAUAGUAGAAAGUGACUCGAGUUCAUAACAUAAAUAUAGACUAUAAAUGAGUUCAGGGUAAAACAGACUGAAUGCAAGAUGUUAACCAGAUGUCCCUAGAAGAAGGUCUCUCGGUCAUUUGUGACUUAUUUACUUAGCAACGAGCUUUCUCUUUUCUGAAAAGGAAAGAGGCAGCUUACCUGACAUAGCAAUCGGCAU